ACACACACGAUAACACGUCUCCCAUGUUCCCCAGCCACACCUCCUGAGAUGUCUGCCUGUCUUCUGCAGGGCACUGCCCCCAUGAGGGACCCUGAGCAUCAGGAAGAGGGCACCUCAUUGGCGCCCACCCUGACCCUGGCGCAUCUCUAACCUGACCUCUGCACUCGACCCAGCUCAUCGCAGCGGUGCGUGAUACCCACGUCAUCCUUGACUGGGCUGCCGCAGGGCAUGUCUGCUGGCGCUGUCCUGGGCACCUACCCACUUCCUCCCAUCGUGGGCGGCAGCCUUGCUGACAUCAGCCAGCUUAGGGCCUGCCUGGCACCUCACAGAAAGGAAGGAAGCAAUCUGUCUCUACCACAGGAGCCAACAGGAGAGGGGGACCAUAGCAUUUCUGAGGACUGAGAACAGAGGACCUGGCCCUGCGGUAUUCUGAGCAUGCCAGGAGCUGUCACUUAGUCCUCAGGACGACCAUCAUCCCAUGUGACAGGUGAGAUUGGCCCCAAACCCCUGCUCUCAGCCUGCCCUC